GUGGUGGUCUGCAGUACAGGACGAAAUUGGAAAAACAAAGAGAAGAUUAACAUGGCCCCUGCUCAAGGAUGACACACAAAUUCGUGAAGCGAAGCGUUCCAUAUUAUU